GAAUGCUGACAUAAGUAACGAUAAAGCGGGUGAAAAGCCCGCUCGCCGGAAGACCAAGGGUUCCUGUCCAACGUUAAUCGGGGCAGGGUGAGUCGACCCCUAAGGCGAGGCCGAAAGGCGUAGUCGAUGGGAAACGGGUUAAUAUUCCCGUACUUGGUGUUACUGCGAAGGGGGGACGGAGAAGGCUAUGUUGGCCGGGCGACGGUUGUCCCGGUUUAAGCGUGUAGGUGUGUGUUCCAGGUAAAUCCGGUUCACUUUAACACUGAGGCGUGACGACGAGGCACUACGGUGCUGAAGCAACAAAUGCCCUGCUUCCAGGAAAAGCCUCUAAGCAUCAGGUAACACGAAAUCGUACCCCA
rnacentral:rRNA from 1 species